AAGCUCCCAAAUCAUAUGGAGUGGAUAUACAAGUUCUUCAAUCUCAACUAACAUAAUAAAAUUCAGGUAUUUAGAUCAGAAAUGGCAUCAACUCAAUUGUGUAAAUGACUGGGAAUAAAAUUACAAAUUAUGAUGACAUUGAACAGAAGAAUCCCAAAAGAAUAUGACAAAACAAACAUUUUUCACCAAGACCUAUAAGCCUCACAGCCAAUCGAUUACAGAUAUAAAGAACACUCCCAAAGCCGCAAACAAACUGGGUUGAGUUGAGUAUUAGGAUGUUCAAGCUUGGUUUAAAUGAAAGUGGAUCAUAUACAAGUGAAGCUUAAGCUUUGGCUCUAGCUUAACUAAAAUGUUAAAGCUAGGUGUGUUCAUAUUUUGCCUAACCUGGCUCAUUCACAAGCCUAUCCAAUCCUGUUAUAAGGAUGCAUUAAUGACAGAAUAAAAUACUUCAAACGCGGCUAAUUUAGCAAAUUUUAAAUCCACUUCUAAAUCAUUAGUCAAUAUUUACUAACUUAAUGUUUAUUGCAGAAUAUUUACAUCAAGCAAGGUUCAAAAAUGUGUCCAUCACUACGAAUGCAUGGCACACAUGCCAAUUGCUCAAGAACCAAGUUGGCCUGAGUUUGGUGGUAUUAAAUUUUGGCUUAAUUGUCCAAUAGAGAUAACUUUCAUAAGAUUUGCAAAGUCAAUGGCCUUCAGAAAUGUAUCUGUUGGCAUGUCUUAGCUAGAAGGGUAGUUUCGUAAUAAAUAAAAGAGAUUAAGAGAGAAACCCCUAAGAUUAUUGUUCUCUCUUUUUGAUGAAGAACAAAAAUAUUGAAGAAAGAGAAAUAAACCACACGGAGAUUUAAAGAACCCUCAACACUUAAAUACACAAAGCAAUAAAAUUAAACUCUCAAUUAUUUCAAUCCAUUCAAAGCUGUCCAAUACAACUCAAACCCUCAAUAUUUAUAAGACACAGACUAAUCAAAUAGAAAAAUAUAUCUAAUAGCUAGGAAACCAAAUAUUAAUAAAAUCCUUAAUAAUAACCUAAUACCAUAAUAAUUCCUAAAAAUCCUAAGUUCCCAAAUUAACUUAAUUCCUUCCUCAUCCAACAUCUUCCUCAUACGCAUCACGUAUGUACCAGUUCUGACCUUUGUGGUCUUUUAUUACGACACGCUAUGGUGUUGGUUAUAACUUUUUUAUAACCUCUUGUGAUUAUUAUCUUGGUUAUGAUCGAAAAGGACUUUGGUUAUGCCUUAUGUAGUGUUUGGUUAUGACUCUUGGUUAUCAUUUGAUUACGACUCAUUGUGAUGAUUGAUUAUAACCUAUUGUUGUUGUUAUUUUGAUUAUGACCAAACAGAUCUUUAGUUACUCAUCAAUUGUUGUUUGGUUAUGAUCCAUCGUGGUAUUUUUAGUUAUGACUGAAAGUGAUUUGGUUAUAACACACUUUGUGGUAUUAACACCACAAAGUGUCAUAACUUGCAUACGGUACACCCUGUUUGGGGGAUGUGGUACACCCUUUAUGUCAUAAAAUGUCAUUACUUACAUAUGGUACACUAUUUUUCCAUAUUGUAUAAACAUCACUUUUCAUAAAUUAAUUAAUUAAUUUUUAGGUGUUGGGAAUUUUUAUUUAAAACAAAGACUUUGUUGUUUUGAAAUUGUAUUUUAUUUCCCUGAAAUUAUUAUAUGUUUUUCCCAAAAACACAUGAUAAAAUCCCUGAAAUUCAGGGUGUGCCAGACAGAAAAAGGACAAAAUGUACCAAUAUACUCCAGCAAAAAAAUAAAAAAUAAUUUGGAUCAACAACACAGAAUUUUAUUGAUAAAUCAAAAAAGAGAUGAGGCUGAGGCAUCCUCUACAAACAAGAAAAAGCAAAGGAAAGAGAAAAACAUAAUCCAAGCAAAGGCUACAUCAAACUCCAGCAAAAAUUUCCUACGAUGGUUAACAAUUUUCAUUUCCUAAUAUAUGUUAGUAGUCUGCAAUUACAUUUAUUUAAUCCAUAAACGAAUAACAUAUUCACAAUUUUCAAUUUCAUGGUCAUUGCCAUGUAGGUGACGUGAGAAAAAUCUAUGUUAGCUGGACUUGGGACAAAAGCUAGACUUUAUAUCUUCAAAACUUUUUUUUAAUCUUUUUAGAUAAAAUGAUAUUUAUAAACUAACAUAAAACAUUUAAUUUGCGAUUUUCUCACUCGUGAAUUUUUGUAGGGAUCAUCAUCAUAAUGGCAUGACCUUCCUAAGAGGAAGAGGCAGGAAUCCCUCUAAGCCCAGAACCCAUAUUGACUUAACAGAAGAUGUCUUUCCAUCUUUGGAUUCCUCUCCAACCAGCAAAACCGCAUCUCCUCAGCCUUUAAGGAAGUAAAUUUUAACAAGCAAAUGAAAAAUAUUUUUAGAAUACUUUUAUUGACGACAUGGUCUUAAUUGUUGAAGACUAACAUCGAACGGAUGUCUGAUCCAUAGGAAGUUAAGGAAAUAUAUUUGUCCACUCAACAAUUUCUUCCCCACUUUGAUCAUUAUCGAUAUUUAUGAAGGAAUCCUUUAGGAAACUGCAUCUAUGGAAAUUAUCUGUACACCAAUUUCUAAUGCACCAAAGAGUGCUUUGAAAUUCAGUUAUAUCUAACAACCACUAAAUGGGGAAUUAAUCCGAAUAAAUCCGUAACUUUGAAACUCACAGAACAACCCUAAAAUUAUUGGGAUUAUAUUGAGGCUUCUGAUAAGGUUUUCCUUUACCAAAACCCUAUCCAAAAACACUUUCGGUUUAUUAAACUUGACAAAUCUCUUCUGCAAACUGGAUUACCAAAUUGGCUCUUAAUUUGGUGGGAACACCAUGGUCCUACCAUUCAAAUUCUUCCAACUGAAAUCCAAGAUGAAUUUACCAGGAGGAUAGAUGGGGUGAUUCAGGUGAGAUCCAAUGUAGAUCCAACUUUCAAUUCAAUCGUGGGAUCCGGGCAGUCUACUAUACAUCCUCAAUUUAGAGGAAAAGAUAAUAUUGCAUUCGAAAAGAUAUUUCACACUUUAUUGUCAAUGAGAUCAGGGAAAUAUGAGGAAAUAUUUUUUCGAGAUUAGGGAGGUCAUUCAACAACAUAAUAAACAAUAUAUUGAUCUCAAUCCCAAGAUCACACCACUGAAUCCAAUGGAAGGGAACCCUUUGUCAUUAUUCAAAAUAUGAUUAGAAAACAAUAUCUGGAACUUUUAGAAACUAAAAUCAUUGCUAGAAGCUGAGAGUUUAUGAAAGAACAGUUCAUGUGUAAUGCCAACCUGAAAUCAAGGAUGAUGCAUACAUGACAUCAGCUCAUAAUGAUUAUAAUAACCAAUAGAGCUGUCUUGUUGGAGAAUCUCUGGACCUAGAACAUGACAAUUCUUCCACUCCUUUGGAGGACUACUAGAAUGCCAUGAAUGACCUAAUGAUGGAAAAGAUGAAAAAAGGAAAAGAUAAAGCCAUCUAGUCUUUUCGGCAUUUGACAACAGCACAUGGAGGCAACAUGAAGAAUCGUUCACUGUGGCCUCCAACCAAAACCAAGGUUCACUUGAAAAGUAGUAUUGUACAAAUAUUCUCAAUAAAGAAUACUGAAAAGUUGGCGUAAUAAUUUAGCACCAACACAUCAAGACAAUGAAGAUAACGAUUCCAGAUAGCGCAAUCGAUAGCAUCCACCUAGCACAUGCCAACUGUCUUUAAACCUUUCUUCCUUAUCCUUCUAGCAUCUAGAAACAUGUCUAUAAAAGGGAUAGUGUUUCACCCUUGUUGAAACACACUUUUUUCCCUAGUCAUCUCAUGUAAUAUCUAAAAUUUCUUCUCUUUGUAUGUUGUGCUUCCAACUCUAUAACCCUUUUAUGCAAAGCAAACAGGGAAGGGAGAAGGGAGAACGGGGAAGAUGGCUAUAAAAGCGUCCAAAAGCAUCAUUUAAGGGACAGCCAACAGUGGUUUUGUUGGGUAACAUUCCCCAGUACUUUCUUUGUCUCUAUUCACCGCUCACUUUGUUUUAAAGGAAUCCUCUCUCCUGCUGUGCAUCUUUGUACUUUUAAUAAACUUUCUCAAUGCCUUCAAAAAAAUUAUAUAUUGCACUGGACAACUGCCAGUGAUGUCUCACAAUGAAAAGAUAUUCCCAACCAUAAAAGCACUAUAAGUCAGAACUACCUGGGAUGUCUAUUCCCAUUAGAAUUGCAGAGACAACCAUUAAUUUGUCAUAUAACUAAAGUUGCUCGAACUUUCCUCACAAUGAAAAUUACAUCACCCAACAGAAAUCUUUAAAUGCAACUAAUGUUGCCCAAACUUUCCCAAAUCACAUAAAUAUCAUAAUGAACUAAAAGUCCCAAUCUCUUUUCAUCUCAUCUGCAGAAUCACUUGCGCUAUUCUCAAUGGUUGUCUUGUCAACCUCUCGUUUUUACUCCUCCACACGUUACUCCCCCAGCAGAUCUUUUUGAAUGUCUUUAUGCACAACACUAGGUUCAGGCUACAAAUAAUCAAACUUUGCUUUUUGAAUGUUGUUCGCUCUAGCUUCUUUAAGAAAAUUUUUUACUUUCCACCAUUGUUCUAACUAUGUCCACAUUUGUUAAACAAAUGCAUAUUCAUGUUUAAUUCAUUUUAGAACUUCAGUUUAUAAGGCAACAUGCUGACUUUUAUCUUUUAUUUAUUUAUUCAAUUACUUCAAUAUAUAAAUAUGUUAGAAGCAUGGAGGCAUCUAACCCAAAUCAAUUGGCCAUGGACAGAAGGGCUAUAACCAAGCUUGGGUAGUUAGAGAGGCAAUACAGAACAAGUCUUUAAAACCCCAAUAUGUGGCCCAAUUGCAUUUGGAGGUGAUAAAGAGAUGAACGAGAUGAGAUAAAUCAACCCGAGGUCAAUUUUGACCCGAGUAGCCACCCAAGACCCAAUUAUGAAAACUAAUUGGCAAUGAGUGGAGGGGCCCUUAGAUUAUAUGAACCAAACAUGGGCAGCUUAGAGAGGCAAUGUUGAACAAGCCUCUGACAAUAUAAAGUACUUUUUAAGUAUUACAUUCUCUCAAUAUCCCAAUCAUAGCAUUUUCAUCAAUAAGUUAUUUCAAAUGCAAGAAUUUGACAGCAAGAAUAUUACAAAAGAUGUAAAUAUAGCACAUGGAUGUUUAAAUGAGCUACAAACAUAGCAAAUUGGAAAAUACUACUGUUUGGCAACAUUGAAUUCAUGCCUUGGACAGAAUUGAAGCCUAUCAUAAUACAGAUUUUGAAAUAAGAUGACCUCCGACUCCAAAGUGUUGAUUCCAAAUUGCCGAACUCUUUUAAGUAUUCAUCAAAUCCCAAGAGCUCAUGCAUUGAUAUCUCAAAAUGUUUAAGGCAAAGCAACAGUAUAGUGCACAUAAGACUAAUACUUUUUCACAAAUUGUUAUCAUUUUUUAUAAUCAUGUUCA